rfam:Candidatus Collierbacteria bacterium RIFOXYB1_FTLL_49_13 rifoxyb1_full_scaffold_3641, whole genome shotgun sequence.
GCCGGCGUAACUCAGUGGUAGAGUAGCUGUUUUGUAAACAGCAAGUCGGAGGUCCGAAUCCUCCCGUCGGCU